CUAUUGUUAGGUCUGACAUCACAUUACAUGUGUGAUCUAAACAAUGUGGGGCUUGCUGGCAGUGAAGCCCCCCAGGAAACGUUCUAGUCUUGUGGAGCCAGAAUCUGCAAUGGUCACAUUCCCUACAUUACUAAAGAAAAGGGUACAUGCAACUGAAGACCAUUUUGGACAGAUUUUGUGUGUGUUGUAGAGAGGACCUAUGUUGAGUCUUCAACACUGUUCAGUCAUUCUACACUAAAAGAUUUGGAAUGGAAGGAGAAGAGGGAGCAUCCGCGUUGUUCUAUUUUAUGUUAACAUACCUUUUAAAAAAAAUUAGAAGAAUCAGAACAGAAUUCUUUUUUAGAAACCUUGAAGAUUAGGAAAUCAUGAGGAAGAAGAUGGCUGUCUCACUGAAAACAUAACAGCUCAGAAACAGGUGAGCAGACAUCUAGGUCACUCAUUUUUCAGAGUAAUCAUUAGUGACUGACCUAGAGUAUGAGCUUUCUACUCCCAGGAAUGUCCCUAAAGAAUGCUCAGGCCAUCACCAAAAAGCACUUAGCAAACAUCUCAUUGCAUUAUGCUUACUGCUUUUAGCUCUCAUUGGGAGUUGCUGGACUUAUGACCUCUGAAUUAUUCUUUGAAAACAAACAUUGAUUAACCCUAUCUUGCUUAGGUUGACUAUCAUUUGAGUGUGAGGGAAGAACAGAACACUUUCAGUUAGAUGGUCACUGUUUUUUUAGAGAAUUUGAUUCCUUUGAAUGCGAGGAAAGGAAGCUAAUAUACUCAUUUCCCACAUAUGUUUUCUUUUUCAUUUAAACCCUUACCUCCUGCCUUGGAAUUAAUACUAUUUAUUGGUUCAAAGGCAGAAGAGUAGUAAGGGCUGGGCAAUAGGGGUUAAGUGACUUGCCCAAGGUCACAUAGCUAGGAAGUGUCUGAGGCCAAGUUUGAACCUAGGACCUCCAUUUCUGGCUCUUAAUCCACUGAGCUACCCAGCUGUCCCCACCCAC
rnacentral:lncRNA from 1 species